GACGAACGCUGGCGGCGUGCCUAAUACAUGCAAGUCGAGCGAAGUUUUUCUGGUGCUUGCACCGGAAAAACUUAGCGGCGAACGGGUGGGUAACACGUAAAGAACCUGCCUCAUAGACUGGGACAACUAUUGGAAACGAUAGCUAAUACCGGAUAAUAGCAUUAACUGCAUGGUUGAUGUUUAAAAGUUGGUUUUGCUAACACUAUGAGAUGGCUUUGCGGUGCAUUAGCUAGUUGGUGGGGUAAAGGCCUACCAAGGCGACGAUGCAUAGCCGACCUGAGAGGGUGAUCGGCCACACUGGGACUGAGACACGGCCCAGACUCCUACGGGAGGCAGCAGUAGGGAAUCUUCCGUAAUGGGCGAAAGCCUGACGGAGCAACGCCGCGUGAGUGAAGAAGGAUUUCGGUUCGUAAAGCUCUGUUGUUAGGGAAGAAUGAUUGUGUAGUAACUAUACACAGUAGAGACGGUACCUAACUAGAAAGCCACGGCUAACUACGUG
rnacentral:rRNA from 1 species